rnacentral:rRNA from 1 species
CAGCCGCCACGGUAAUACGUAUGUCGCGAGCGUUAUCCGGAAUUAUUGGGCAUAAAGGGCAUCUAGGCGGCCGGAUAAGUCUGGGGUGACAACUUGCGGCUCAACCGCAAGCCUGCCCUGGAAACUAUGCGGCUAGAGUACUGGAGAGGUGGACGGAACUGCACGAGUAGAGGUGAAAUUCGUAGAUAUGUGCAGGAAUGCCGAUGAUGAAGAUAGUUCACUGGACGGUAACUGACGCUGAAGUGCGAAAGCUAGGGGAGCAAACAGGAUUAGAUACCCGCGUAGUCCCUGUCUCUUAUAC